CAUUCUCACAAGGAUUAGGUGAAGUCAACGAAGUUUGCAAAACAGCAACGCCCAGGGCUCCCAAGAAGAACUACGCAGUCCGCAAUGAAAGCAUAUAAAUCUUCGGGUCGAUCUGCCUCAAGCCAGCCUCUCAAAUUCGCCGAAACAUCCAGUCACCAGAGGCCUGUUGCGGUAUGGAGUAAGAACUGGAUAGUUGGCAGGUGGAUUGUGUUGGUGUUUCUGGCAUUUUUUCUGGUGGUAGUGGAUAUACAAUGCUUUCGGCUGCUCCGUAAAUACAACCCGGAAGACACGGUUUAUGGUUUGUUUAUGAUGGGGCUUGGAAGCGUGGUUGGGUUUGGUUUUCUCGGUACACAAGCUCAAGAACUAGUUGAAGAUGCGAAGACUGUGAAUGAUGUGCCUUUCUGGUGUUAUGGGUUGGUGAGCGGGAGGUCUAAUUGAAGAUUCAAGGGCGGUGUGGACUAAGAUAAAAUGUCGGAUGUAAGAAAUUUAUUAAAAAAGUUUAAUCCAAGUAAGUGUUUUGGUUUGGAUAGGCGUUGUGUUUACAAGUGUUUGAAUGUAAUAUCCUUCGGAGUUUGUAUUACCCCUGCUUUUGUUCUAUAUAUUAUGUGUGUAUGUGUAAUUUUUCUGUUUUAUAUGAAAGAGCAAAUUGUUCUAAUGUAUCCAUUCAACUAAUGGGCGAAGCCAAUCGAUGUUCACCAAUGACUCAUAAGCCCUGGGCGUGCCUAUGGGCUGAGUUGUACUACCUGGUUAUCUGAUUUGACUCGAGUCGAGUUAUUUUGUUGAUUUAUAUCCUUUAGGUGUCCCGAUAGAUUAUGAACACAUUACUACUAAACUCAUGAGGCUUGGCCUAUCCUUGGCAAGAUAAAGUGCUGUUUCUCGAAUGCAAAUUGUCCAGGUUAUUUGGGGGAAUCACUUUCUGUGAGUUGCUUUAACAUCCAUUCAACUUGCUCAAUUAUCGUGCAUCUUUGGUCAGGAACUAUGAAUGGUGGCUUACUAUCAAGAACAUUUCUAGGCGGCUUUCCAGUUAACAGAUUAAUUAGGCUUAUUGUUCUGUGAACUAUGUUAUUAUUCUAAAAUUCCUACAGGGUUAAAACGUUAUGAUGUUCAAAGAGCAUGAGCAUGUCCUGGAACACUGAGAUCUAUCGCCAUACCUCUUCUUUAAGUUUCUUGCUGGUCACUAUCCCUCUACUAUCUGCUAAAAACUUUCUUGGUGCUUCUUGCGAGAGUCUUGGUAUCUUAAUUCAACUACUUGGGGGACCGGACUCUCUGACUUGAACCUGUGAAUCUCUUGUCCUAUAAAGAAAACUGAAGAAAGGUUGUUGAUUGUGCAAUUUUACCUUUGAGGACUUACUAAUCUUAUCUUAGUAAGCUGAGAUAGGUUUACUAAAGCAGAAAUUGUGCUUAGCCAACCUGUUUCAGCUCAUUGUUGCCAAUAUGGAUUACCAGAUUCAG